GUGUGACUGCGUACCUUUUGUAUAAUGGGUCAGCGACUUAUAUUCUGUAGCAAGGUUAACCGAAUAGGGGAGCCGAAGGGAAACCGAGUCUUAACUGGGCGUUAAGUUGCAGGGUAUAGACCCGAAACCCGGUGAUCUAGCCAUGGGCAGGUUGAAGGUUGGGUAACACUAACUGGAGGACCGAACCGACUAAUGUUGAAAAAUUAGCGGAUGACUUGUGGCUGGGGGUGAAAGGCCAAUCAAACCGGGAGAUAGCUGGUUCUCCCCGAAAGCUAUUUAGGUAGCGCCUCGUGAAUUCAUCUCCGGGGGUAGAGCACUGUUUCGGCAAGGGGGUCAUCCCGACUUACCAACCCGAUGCAAACUGCGAAUACCGGAGAAUGUUAUCACGGGAGACACACGGCGGGUGCUAACGUCCGUCGUGAAGAGGGAAACAACCCAGACCGCCAGCUAAGGUCCCAAAGUCAUGGUUAAGUGGGAAACGAUGUGGGAAGGCCCAGACAGCCAGGAUGUUGGCUUAGAAGCAGCCAUCAUUUAAAGAAAGCGUAAUAGCUCACUGGUCGAGUCGGCCUGCGCGGAAGAUGUAACGGGGCUAAACCAUGCACCGAAGCUGCGGCAGCGACGCUGAUGCGUUGUUGGGUAGGGGAGCGUUCUGUAAGCCUGUGAAGGUGUGCUGUGAGGCAUGCUGGAGGUAUCAGAAGUGCGAAUGCUGACAUAAGUAACGAUAAAGCGGGUGAAAAGCCCGCUCGCCGGAAGACCAAGGGUUCCUGUCCAACGUUAAUCGGGGCAGGGUGAGUCGACCCCUAAGGCGAGGCCGAAAGGCGUAGUCGAUGGGAAACAGGUUAAUAUUCCUGUACUUGGUGUUACUGCGAAGGGGGGACGGAGAAGGCUAUGUUGGCCGGGCGACGGUUGUCCCGGUUUAAGCGUGUAGGCUGGUUUUCCAGGCAAAUCCGGAAAAUCAAGGCUGAGGCGUGAUGACGAGGCACUACGGUGCUGAAGCAACAAAUGCCCUGCUUCCAGGAAAAGCCUCUAAGCAUCAGGUAACAUCAAAUCGUACCCCAAACCGACACAGGUGGUCAGGUAGAGAAUACCAAGGCGCUUGAGAGAACUCGGGUGAAGGAACUAGGCAAAAUGGUGCCGUAACUUCGGGAGAAGGCACGCUGAUAUGUAGGUGAAGUCCCUCGCGGAUGGAGCUGAAAUCAGUCGAAGAUACCAGCUGGCUGCAACUGUUUAUUAAAAACACAGCACUGUGCAAACACGAAAGUGGACGUAUACGGUGUGACGCCUGCCCGGUGCCGGAAGGUUAAUUGAUGGGGUUAGCGCAAGCGAAGCUCUUGAUCGAAGCCCCGGUAAACGGCGGCCGUAACUAUAACGGUCCUAAGGUAGCGAAAUUCCUUGUCGGGUAAGUUCCGACCUGCACGAAUGGCGUAAUGAUGGCCAGGCUGUCUCCACCCGAGACUCAGUGAAAUUGAACUCGCUGUGAAGAUGCAGUGUACCCGCGGCAAGACGGAAAGACCCCGUGAACCUUUACUAUAGCUUGACACUGAACAUUGAGCCUUGAUGUGUAGGAUAGGUGGGAGGCUUUGAAGUGUGGACGCCAGUCUGCAUGGAGCCGACCUUGAAAUACCACCCUUUAAUGUUUGAUGUUCUAACGUUGACCCGUAAUCCGGGUUGCGGACAGUGUCUGGUGGGUAGUUUGACUGGGGCGGUCUCCUCCUAAAGAGUAACGGAGGAGCACGAAGGUUGGCUAAUCCUGGUCGGACAUCAGGAGGUUAGUGCAAUGGCAUAAGCCAGCUUGACUGCGAGCGUGACGGCGCGAGCAGGUGCGAAAGCAGGUCAUAGUGAUCCGGUGGUUCUGAAUGGAAGGGCCAUCGCUCAACGGAUAAAAGGUACUCCGGGGAUAACAGGCUGAUACCGCCCAAGAGUUCAUAUCGACGGCGGUGUUUGGCACCUCGAUGUCGGCUCAUCACAUCCUGGGGCUGAAGUAGGUCCCAAGGGUAUGGCUGUUCGCCAUUUAAAGUGGUACGCGAGCUGGGUUUAGAACGUCGUGAGACAGUUCGGUCCCUAUCUGCCGUGGGCGCUGGAGAACUGAGGGGGGCUGCUCCUAGUACGAGAGGACCGGAGUGGACGCAUCACUGGUGUUCGGGUUGUCAUGCCAAUGGCACUGCCCGGUAGCUAAAUGCGGAAGAGAUAAGUGCUGAAAGCAUCUAAGCACGAAACUUGCCCCGAGAUGAGUUCUCCCUGACUCCUUGAGAGUCCUGAAGGAACGUUGAAGACGACGACGUUGAUAGGCCGGGUGUGUAAGCGCAGCGAUGCGUUGAGCUAACCGGUACUAA
rnacentral:rRNA from 1 species